GAUGAACGCUGGCGGCGUGCCUAAUACAUACAAGUCGAGCGAACAGACGAGGAGCUUGCUCCUCUGACGUUAGCGGCGGACGGGUGAAUAACACGUGGAUAACCUACCUAUAAGACUGGGAUAACUUCGGGAAACCGGAGCUAAUACCGGAUAAUAUAUUGAACCGCAUGGUUCAAUAGUGAAAGACGGUUUUGCUGUCACUUAUAGAUGGAUCCGCGCCGCAUUAGCUAGUUGGUAAGGUAACGGCUUACCAAGGCAACGAUGCGUAGCCGACCUGAGAGGGUGAUCGGCCACACUGGAACUGAGACACGGUCCAGACUCCUACGGGAGGCAGCAGUAGGGAAUCUUCCGCAAUGGGCGAAAGCCUGACGGAGCAACGCCGCGUGAGUGAUGAAGGUCUUCGGAUCGUAAAACUCUGUUAUUAGGGAAGAACAAAUGUGUAAGUAACUAUGCACGUCUUGACGGUACCUAAUCAGAAAGCCACGGCUAACUACGUG
rnacentral:rRNA from 1 species